rnacentral:tRNA from 1 species
GCAUUAGUAGCUCAGC